UCAGCCCCAGCCGCGCUCCGGCGGCCCCGGGGCGGAGAACGGAACGCGGCGGCCGCGGGGAGAGAGGGAGACACGGCCAAAUGCCAGGCAAUAGGAUGCAGGCUCGCCGAUGCUGCUGCGAGGCACGGAUCUCUCAAAGGAAGAAUACACCAACACAUCUGAUCUGCUUUUGGUUGUGACCACAAGAACCACUGAUGUACAUGGGAACAGAGUCAGGCCCCAAACUGGAGGCACCAUGUGAAGAAGGAACUGUCCUGCCAAGAGGAUUUAUGCUCUGUUAUUGAGAAUAUGCCUUAGGUGAAUUUGAGGACAUUCCUGAGGAUGGGACUCCGGUGGCAUCACAAACCAGCAGUGGAAUUUUGAUAAUGAAGGAAAACAAAGAUGAUGGAACCUGAGAGGAAACAAUAACCAUUCUUGGGGCUGAGCCCCACACACAGGGAGAGGCCAGCCAGCUGUGCCACCCUCUGACUGCAGAUGGUGGACCACAUGAGUUCAGUCUUGGGAACCAAAUCCACCCAGGGAUCCAUUGUCCCGCCCACAGUGUUUUCCUGUCCAUCCAGGCACUCCAGUACCCCUUUGAGCAAGGUACUGCUGCCCUGUUGAGCCAUGGACAACAUCAGAGCCUGACUGCAAACAUGCUCUCAGGUGCCUCAGGUGCAAAUAUGUUCAUUUCUCUCAUCCCCAUGGGGAAAAGCAGCCACAUGGUGAUUUAGACCAACAGAAUCUAUUUCCCAGGGGAAGCAGGCAAAGAUACUAUGGGUAAAAUGAGGGAUUACAGCUUUCCACAUUCAACCUGUCCCUGGACGUGGAGACCAAACCCCCUUUGGAACAGAUCUGAUGCUGUUUUGUGAGCCAACAGAAAGAAAUUUAAUUUGUGCCUGUUACAUCCACCUGAUGGUCAACUUGUAGCAUGCCAGACCACAAGAGAUACUAAUUACCAGCACCACAAAUCAUGUUACUGUCGCCAGUUUGGAUUCCUGGAAAAUCUAGCUUUGAGGGAUGUCAGAUUCAAUAUCAUGAACAGAUGGUGUUUCUGUCUGAAGAGGAGACAUGCCCUUGAUCAGUCUGUCAGUGCUUAGGGUGCUGAUGCUUUUGGUUCUCAUCCAACCAUCUUCACCCAGGGGCUGAGGCUUUACAAGGCAGCACACAGUCUACAAGGAUGAUUAGGACCUGGAAAUACAGGCAGAAAAGCAAUGUCAGGGUGAUAGAGUCCAUGUCCCUUCAAAAUAUCUAACAGCUUGGACACAGGUGUGAUCUGUUAGAAGUUUUUGUGGCUUGCAAAAACUUUCAGGUCUCCCAUGGCUUGAUCUACAGUAUAACAGAAUACUUCUUAAGGUGAGUCCUUAGCUCUUCAGAGCAGCAAAAUAAGCAAGGAUUAAGUGAGAGUUAAAGAUCAGAAUUGGAAGGUCGCUUAUGUGAAGGUCCGAAAAGCUUUUCGAUGAGUAUCUUAUCUCCUCAACUGCAGAGAGCAUAAAGAACUGUUUGGAUUCUUCUGUGGCUUAUCCAGAUCCCACAGAUCUUCAUGGAAGUGGUUGCAGUGACUUCAGCAGGCUGUGAACAAGGUCUGCAGGACGCUGCCCUGUGAAUAUUUACCCUCUGGUGGAGAGCAGCUGUCUGCCACCUCAGUGUGGGAUAUCGAGUUACACCAUGACCGAGCACAGGUCAUUAAUCACAUCCUUCAGUGAAGUGGUUAUAAGGUCAUCACAUCAAACCCUGCCUGGCACCUUUGUGCCUGCACAAGUUUUAUUUUACACAGAGCCUGGGGAAGCAUCUGUUUAAAACACUUGACUCCGACUCAUUAGCUCUGCCACAAAGCCUCUCUCCUAAUACACUUAAUCUUUCUGCCUCUCCAUUCCUACAUCGCCCUCCCAGCAUCAUCAGCGGACACAGUGAGCAGCUUCUCCUCUCCCUCCAAGUACCUGCUGGCAGGAGGGAUUCAGCCCUCAGACACCACAGACCAGAAGUCCUGUGUUUGCCUGUAGUGGACACAGAGAGUCACAGCCCCCUCAAGUCCCCAUAACCACCCACUGGUCUGUAGAGAGCAACUGCUUCCCACAGGUUUGAGGUCUGCUGCAUGUGGUAGACGUGCCACUAAUGGAUCCUGCAAGAGCAGGAUCCAGAGCAGUAAAAGAAAUCCCAGGAUAAUUAUGUGCUAUGAAAACUAUGGCAGCUCAUACACGAUUAACUCAGCAGGCUUUGGAAUUGGAUCCUCAGCAGAAAGCAGCACUGUGAUCCUAUAACUCUUGCAGAGGUUUAUCUACAGUAGCUGAAGAGAGAGGUGAGGUACCCCAAGUCAGACAAGUUCCAGCUCCUGCAAAGAGCAGUCACCUUUUCUUUUAAGCAGCAGGCACACAGCAGAGGCUCCUGUUUCACCACACCUUUACAGAGUGAUGGGAUCCAUAAAGCAGUGAGCUAGCAAAUGUACCUCUCUCCUGUGACACCAUUCCAAGGACAUGCCAGGCGGUGUUGUGCCUGUGGGUUUGGAGCAAGAGGGAUCUGGAUGAGUACCACCAACCUGUAACUCUGCCAGCAGAUAUGGGGAAGUGCUGCUCGCCUGCUACAGCUGAGUGAAUAACUGAUGGGGCAGGACAGGAGCCAGACAGAGACACCUUUCUGGAGACACUGUUUAGUGCUUUUUAAUUUUGUAAGUUGCUGAAAUUGCACUAUUUCCCUCUCCCAUCCCACAUGCAGACAGUGCAGGCAGGGAAGAGCUGCCUUGAGCAUCAGUGAGACCCUGCUAACUCCUCACCCAGCAGACUGAUUCAGACCAGAAUUAAAUAAAGGACGCUUGGCUAUCAUCACUACCACGAUAAUGUGAAUUUCUGAUUAAAUCUGACAUACUCUUUAGCAAGAUGUGUGGAGCUGAGAAACCAUAAAGUGCUGCUGAAAGCAGAUGUUGAUUUACCAGGAGCACUUUUCCAGCAGCACAGAUGUGGUCACAGCCACACAUCCCUUCCCUCAUCACCUUUCAGUCUGCUUUUUGUAACACUGACAUUUCAGCCCUUCCACAGAGCUCAGGGACCCAAUGUGUGUUUAUGUGCCAGGUGCUGCAUAUACACACAGAUGUAAGGGAUUUCUGUCUCAAAGAGCACAGGGGAAUGGUGAUACACACAUCUGGCACAGGAGGAAACUGAGGUGCGGAGGCUUCCCAGAGUUUGUGCAGCAUCCAGAGACACAGCACAACUGCAAAGAUACUGUGAACAUCCCACCCCAUCCCACUGCCCAGGGGACUGGCAGCCACCAGCUGAGCACUCUCUAAGGUCUGCAGAAGAUAAAGGGUUUCACACUUUUUCACACUAAAUCAUGUGGAAAAAGAGAGUAAGGAAACUUAACCUGUCUGUGUGAGGAGUCGCUGUUUAUCUUUUUUUUGGACAGUAGAAGUGGUGCCUAGAAUUAUUCACCACCAUUUUAAUCAAACUGGAAAAAAAGUAGUCCAUGCAUCCAACAUCUUGAAGACCAAACUGUGCAAUAAGAAAACCAGCAGCUCAGGCUGAGAGUAAGAAACUGGAUCUGGGAGAGAAAGCCUGGCUGGCACUGGCUUGGCUGAGGGACGUGGUUAGUGCUAAAGCAAGCUGCUGGGGAAAGAUUUGCAGGACCUAAUGAAGCCAGAGUGGGAUUGCAACUAUUUCUCACACCCAGCAAGUGAGAGAUUGCCCUAAAAAUACUGCAAUAUGUUUGGACACCGGAUGAACUCGCCAGCUGUUUUCUGAAAAGCCUGAGAUGCUGCAAACAUGAUUAAAGGAAGAGAAAGAAAAAUUAAUAAACCCAACUGAUUGAAAGACA